UACAGAGGUCUCAAGCGUUGUUCGGAUUUAUUGGGCGUAAAGGGUGCGUAGGUGGCGGGGUAAGUCAGGUGUGAAAUCUCGAGGCUCAACCUCGAAACUGCACUUGAUACUGCCUUGCUCGAGUACUGGAGAGGAGAUUGGAAUUUACGGUGUAGCAGUGAAAUGCGUAGAUAUCGUAAGGAAGACCAGUGGCGAAGGCGAAUCUCUGGACAGUUACUGACACUGAGGCACGAAGGCCAGGGGAGCAAACGGG
rnacentral:rRNA from 1 species